ACGGACAAAGUUCAAGUCCCAAAUUCAGGCUGGUGGCAGCCUAGCCCAGCACCAGGAGCCCUUGUUUGACACCCAAACAAACCAGUUGAACUUGCAGGGUGGACAGAAGCUCCCUCCCUGCUUCCUCCCGUGGGCAGCUGAGCCCUCCACUCCCCUCUUCCUUGGGCCUGGCUGCCUUUCUCUCCCUCUCCUGCAAACGUCUGCUCAUCCCUAGGAGGACCCUGUGUACCCUGGGCCUCCUCAUGGAGCCUCUCGCCAGCAUUGACAGAAGAAGCCCUGUCCAGUCCCUGGGCCUCGCUAGCCCCAGGGUCCCAGAGCUCAGCCUCUCUGGCCUCUGGUGUCUUGUGUCGGCGGCUCUCGUUGGUCUCUGAGGCUUUCCCUUCUCUUUUCUGUCUGUGUGGCUCGCUGGGCUGUGGUCUCCCUUUGGCUGGGGAUCAGGACCAUGGUGCUAGGCAGAGCCUGCUCCAGGAUGACUCCAUGGCGGAGGACUCCCUGGUGAGCAUGCUUGGGGAGGCCGAGGCUGAGACCGGAGGGCACCAAGACCAGCAACGGCCAGGAGUGAAGGAGAUGAUGAUCUAUGUCGUUGGAGCGCCUGGAAAAUGGAGGAGAUUACUUGGGG